UCACGACGCACGUAUUUUUAUUUUUACCAGUCGUUCAAGGCGGACGGAUUCAGUCCCAAGAAGCUAAAGUUUUUCAAAGACAUUUGUAGGGAGGACUUUGCAGCUAAUGGAGCUGAAGUAUUUUAUGUAAGGAGGAUUUUGCAGCCCAUAUAGAUUUCCUUAGGCUGAACCAAAACCUGCCAGACUAAAGUUGAUUUGGGAGAGAAAGACGUUGUAAACUCAAUCAUCUUGACAUUCUUCAAUGAGUAAUUGUUCAAUUUUUAGGCAAAUACUGUACACUUUGAAUGCUGUGAAUAAAACUAUAUUUUAAAUAUAUUUAAAAUGAA